CUUUCUUUAGGGGGAAAGAAAGAUGUGAUGUGUGCCAAGGAGGAAGGUGAAAAGGUGGAGGGGGAAAGAGGGAAGGAAGAAAGGUGAAAGGGGGAAGAAAGAAAGGGGAAAGGAAGGAGGAAAGGUGGAAAGGUGGAAAGGUGGAAAGGUGGAAAGGUGGAAAGGUGGAAAGAGGGAGGGGGAAAGGAGAAAGGAGGGAAGGGGAAGGAAAAGAAAGGAAAAAGUAAACUUCAGGUAUAGGCCUAGGCCCCCAUCAUUUCUUGCUUUAAGCCCAGGCCACUUCAAAGUGUCAGGGUUAGGCCCAGGCCCACAUCACUUCUUCCUUUUGGCCCGAGCCUCUUCAAGGGUCAGGGAUGGGCCCAGGCCCUCAUCUCUUAUUUACUUUGGCCUGGGCCUCUUUAAUGUUCAGGGAUAGGCCCAGGCCCUCAUCUCUUAUUUACUUUGGCCUGGGCCUCUUUAAUGUUCAGGAAUAGGCCCGGGAACAUAAAACUACUUUCUUUAGGCCCGGGCCUUUUCAAACUUCAGGGAUAAGACCAGGCACUUUAACUUCUUUCUUGUGGCCCGGGGCCUCUUCAUAUGUCAAGGAUAGGCCUCUUCAUGGAUCGGGAGGAUAGGACAAUGCCCAUAUCACUUCUUCCUUUUGACCCAAGGCUCUUCUAGGGUCAGCAUAGGCCUAGGCCCUCUUCACUUCUUGUGUUAGGCCCAGGCCUCUUCAAAUUUCAGGGAUAGGCCCAGGCCCACAUCACUUCUUUCUUUUAGCCCAGGCCCUCAUUUUUUUGCUUUUUGUCCGGGCCACUUCAAAGGUCAGGCAUAGGCCCAGACCCUCUUCAUAUCUUGCAGUGUGCCCAGGCCUCUUUAAAUUUCAGGGAUAGGCCCAGGCCCACAUCACAUUUUGCUUUUAGCCCCGGCCUCUUCAAGGGACAGGGUUAGGUCCAGGCCCAUAUCAUUUUUUGUUUUUCCGUCCGGCCCUCUUCAAUUGUCUGGGAUAAGUCCAGGCCCACAUCACUCCUUGCUUUUGGCCUGGGCCUCUCAAAGUUAGGUAUAAGCCCAAGUCCACAUUUCUUCUUUAUGCCAGGUCUCUUCAAAGGUCAGGGAUUUGCCCAGGUCGACAUCACUUUUUGCUUUUGGUCCGGGCCUCUUCAAAGUUCAGGGACAGGCUCAGGCCCACAUCACUUUUUGCUUUUGGCCUGAGCCUCUUCUGGAGCAGGAAUAGGCCUGGGCCCAUAUAUCUUUUUUUUUUUUUUUUUUUUUUUUUUUUCAUGUUUGGCCAGGCCUCUUUCUUUUCAGUCCUAUUUAUCUAGGUCCAGAAAUCCUCACUCUCAGGGUAUAUGAUUCUUUUUAUGUUUGAAGUACUGGAUUCUUUUGAGUUCAAAUUUGUCCAAAGCUUCUUUGUUUUUAGCCUUGAUCUUGGUCAAUAUUUUAGGGAAAAAGGAGACAGAUAUUGAUUGAUGUAUUUAGUAUUCUUCUCUGGCAUCUCAAAUACACUCAGAACAUCAUUAACCUAUCCACUAGGAAACGUGCUCAGACUUUACACUCAUAGCUUACAGUCCAGGUAAAACAAAUUAUACACUAUACAAUUAGGAAGAUUAAAAAAAAAAAAGAUUCCUGUUGCAUAGCUGUCCAUGCCUGUGGUAGAGUGUACCCAUGAACUCAUGUGGAAAGAUUGUUGCUUCUAAGUUGUGAGAGCGACAGGAGAAUCUCACCAAGGCCCCAUGAUGUAUAACCCUCCUUCCGGAGGUCCCAUGAUGGAAUAUCACAGGAAGUUAGGGGAAACAAUAGAGGUUAGUCCUCCAAAUGUCUUGCUAAGGCACUGAAGGCUGUGCAGAUCUUCACAAUUUCCUAUAUGGGAUGGAUCUUCUUUCUAUGUGUUAUACAUGGCCAUGCUCUGUGAGGAUAUCCCUCUAGUCCUUGCUAUUACCACAUCUGUCCUGUUCAUCAAAAGUCCUCAGAUACUGACCUGUGCGUUAGUCACCCCUUUCACAAAAAGCCCUCUGUCAAGUACAUGUCCUGAUGUGAGAUCAGGUCUUUACCCAAAGAUUUUCCUGCACUGACUUACCUAGAAAGGAUCUCUGCCACCUUCUCCUAUCAUGGACUCUGCUGACCUCAGAGCUAGGGUACACCCAUAACCAUGACAGUGACCCCUUCUGUGAGAUCACAGAGGCCAAGCCUCACUCUGUUUAGGAAAGCUUAAAGGGUGUCCAGGCACACAGGUACCUUUUGGACUGGUAUCAAAUUGAUCGAAAUUUUGGCCUCUAGCCUGUCUCUUCACCGCCAUUAAACACAGCUUGUAGUAGGAUUUCCCAGAAAGCAGCAUUUCAGGAAGUUUCCCUCCCUGGCCUCAUCAUGAUAGUCAAUGACUUCUGAGAAUGUCACUAAAGAAACAACUGUUAUGAUCCUCUACGCACGCGCGCACACACACACACACACACACACACACACACACAGAUUCAUUCACAAAUACAUUAACAGCCAUAAAUAUAAAUAUGUUACGUAGAUGAAGAAGGGAUGUGAUAUCAAUGUCUGUGGCCAUGCAGGAAAGGGCCUGUGAGUUGAAAAUAAAGAUUUCUAGGAAGGUUCAUGUUUAAAAGAAAACACAGAGAAGGUCCUGGGAAAGCACUUCCUUAUGAACCUGUGUAACAUAUGUUCCCUGAAAUAAUGACAUAGGGGGCAGUGUAAGUAGUUGAUCACUUAUGAGCGUGAGUUUUGAGUCUUAAAAGCAGGCACUGACUUGACAGUUUCUUCCAGAGGCCUCCCUUCCUGGCACGUGUAUGGUGUCUUCUCCCUGAGUCUAUAUAUAGCAUGCCAUUCGGCAGGCACCCUUGUAUUUACUGCUGUCUGGCUUAACAGAACUCCUGUUGUGCUAAAUAAGGAACACCUCAAGAACUUCACGGAGCCCCUGUCACUGCCAUUCAGGUCCUUACUCCUGCUCUUUCCUGCAUGCCUUUAUACCUGAAGGCACAUGUACUCCCGUAUAUACACUCCCAGACCAUGCACACUAACAUACAAUUUAAAUAUAAUUAUGUAUAGUGUGCAGGGUUAGGUAGAGUGCUGGAAUAAUAUGUCCUGUUUGUGGGGCAAUGGACUAUAUACAGACAGUCUGGUCUCCAGUAAAGCUGAGGUCUGAACUCUGGGACCCGGUGGUGAUAAUUCACCUACAUGGGACAGAAGGAGUUCUCUCAUGUCUCCUGGAACUCUGGCUCCUGUCAAAGUUACCGUCCCCUCGGCCCCCACAGGAGAAGCAUGGUUAGUAGUCAUAUAGGCAAUGUCCCAAGCUUCUGACCUUCAGGCUAGACUCCUCCCCAGUUAAGAUAAGAGCAUACCAUAAAAGGGGCUGUUUGACCCCUCCUCACUCUCUCACUACUCUUGCUCUUAAUCCCCUUACUCUCUCUCCUUUCCUCUCCGUCUCUCUCCCUCUUACUCUCUAGACUUUCUUCUCUAUCUCCCUUUCCCCUUUGUCUCCUUUUGGCCAUGGCCAGUCUCUCUCUCUUUUACUUUCUAUCCUUUCUCCCUGCCUUUCUAUAAUAAAGCUCUUAAACCAUAGACUGUCUCUGCUCAUCAAGGCCCGCUGCACAGAUUCUCACCUGUGUGGAAACCUCUCUCCCUCAGCUCUCACUACCAUAACCCCGGGGCUACAGGGUGUCACUCUGGGGCCCCCUGUCAGGGGCUGCGCCCCUUGUCCACCCCCCAUUGAGUGAGGUCAGUGGAACUCUGGCGGGACGUGGGCUAUCCUCCUUCCCCCCUCUUCCCCAGCCUCCCUUUUAGUUCCCACACCUGUUGAGUACCUGCUUUCGGUCAUGCUGGAGACAACCCCUGGACAUAAAAGACAAGAUUAUUACUGUGAAGAAGCAAAGUCCCUUCAGAAGCCCAGACAGUAGGACUCUCUCUGCACCAUCUCCUACCUGCCCUGGACACAAUGGGCUGCCAUAGCUGAUAGUUGUCCAUGGCUUGGGGCAAAACAGCAGAGCUUCAUCCUGCACUAGUCUGGAGCCUGGAGUCUUUUCAUGUGGUACAAGCUGGGUGUGACCAUUCCCUAGGCUUAUUCUCUGGUGAGUUGUAGGUGUUGUCUCCCUGAGUACUUGUUUGGCAAGUUAUUUAGCAUGUGCAUACGCACACGCACAAGCACACACACACACACACACACACACACACACACACACACACACCCUGCUGAUACUGUAACAGUUUCUACUGCUUUAGCUCAGGCCCUGCUAAAGGUCACUUCAAGGACCACAUUAGGCUUCAUACACCUCCUUACUCCUAUCUCCCAGUAUAGCACACUGAGGUUUAGUCAGGACUUCAGCAGAGGGAUCUGUAUAUAUUCUCCCAACAUACAGCCCAACAAACCUGCAGUUCCUUCCAGAUCCCAGCCCACCCCUGAGCUCCCUCACACCAACACCACAGCCUUUAACCAUGGCAACAGGCUAUAUGAGGUAACAGAGGCUGACCACACCUCUCUCCAGCUUCUUCCCAUGUGCCUAGAUGUAACAUGGGGAACGACCGUGCUUUCUCUCUUAAUAUAAAGUACCCUGACUUAUGUAACUACAACUGGUGAGUUGUAGGUGUUGUCUCCUUGAGUCCUUGUUUGGCAAGUUCUUUAGCAUGCGCAUAUGCACACACACAUACGCGCGCGCACACACACACACACACACACACACACACACACACCCCUUGCUGAUACUUACAGCAACUGUUUAUACAUAUUUGUAGCAAGAUAUGUGGUAUCAUUCCAUGUCCUCCUCAUGCACUUUCACACAUAUGGAUGUAGACCUGCAGACAUGAGCACAUACAUGAGAACGUGUACGACACACCUACAAAGUGAAAACAUGUAUUUAAGUACAGAAUGAGAGGGGUAGGUGCUGUCAUGGCGUUUCCUGUGGUACUGGCAUUGAUGUUUGACUCAUAUUGUGGCAGCUCUCUGAGUACACAUGCAAAGAUUGCUAUUGCCAUGGCCUGAAGUCACCAGGGAAGAUGCUCUGCCUCCUUCCCUGGACAAGCUAUGUGUGAUGGUCAAAUGUGGGUGUGGCAAAAGCACUGUUCCUGCCUUCCUGAUCUAGUCUGGGGGCUCAAGUCCUGGUCCAGAUGUAUAUAUGUGGCUUCUUUCCAAGGCCUCUCCUCCUGGUGAGUGAGGGGUUCUACUUCCUACAGUCUUGAGUGGCCAUUCCCAUUACUGUGAGACUUCUGAUCUGUUUCUAGCUCUCCUUAGCGCUCUUGAAGACAAUCUUAGAGCUGUGUUCAAUCCGAAACACUUUAAGUCCCUCUCCCUAUUUCUGCCUCCCCCGCUUAAGACCCCAGUGAAGAAGUGCUUCGCACCGAGUAAGCUACUCACGUGACGAAUUUCAGGUAGUCCAUCCCAGAAAACAUCCCAAGCCUAGGCAGACACACAUGCAAAGUGUGAAUCCCAGCCCUCCUUGCUGGACUCUGAGUUAUCCUCAGGCUAAGCAGUCUGCUAUUACUAAGGCAGGGAUUUACCCUGUGAUGUCACAGAGGUCUCACCUCAUGGCACUCUGAGAAUUGCAAGGGACAUCCGGUGCUCAGUCAUCUCCCAGUUUGGUCCAUCCUGUUCUCUACACAACUGUUUCAAGCAUCUUUGGAAACACUUAGCUUUGGGAAAGUAGCUGAAAGUGUUUCUUAGACACCUCCCUGGGAAUCUCCUACAAGCAUCUCCUGUCAGCCCUCCAUCUUCCCACAUUACCUACAUCCUUAAGAGGAGGAACACAGUGGAUAGCACUGCUUCCUCAGCUCAAGUGUCUGUCCUCACCAUCUCGGAUCCUCUAUUGCCAUCAUGGUUUAUUGCUGCCCCUCAGCCCACAGGGUGCCAUCGUCUGCCCCUUGUCUCUGACUCCAACUGUAACCAUACAUACAUAAAUAUAUACAUAAUACAUUUAAUUAAUUUUUCUCUUAUUUUAAACUACCCAAUCCAUCACAUUUGUUAAAGAGAAUGACAUAUCUUGUAUGCUAGAGAAAUGGCUAAGUGCUAAAUAGCUCAGUGGCUAAGGUCACUCACUGCUCUUGCAGGGGACCUGACUUUUAACCACAGCAACCACAUGGCAUGGCUGACAACCAUCUGUAACAGCUCCAGGAGAUUCAAUGCUCUUUUGGGCCUUCUUGGGUACUUAAGUGCACAAACCCACAUUCAAAUAUACACAUAGACAUAUAAUUUUAAAAAUAAGCAGCCAGGAGAUGGCAGCACAUACUUUUAAUCCUAAAAUUCGGGAGUCAGAGGCAUGCAGACCUUUUGUGUUUGAGGACAGCCUAGUAUAUGCAGCAAAUCUCAGAACAGCCAAGGCUUCACAGAGAAACCCUGUCUU
rnacentral:lncRNA from 1 species